rnacentral:rRNA from 1 species
AUGGGGGUGGGAUACCUGACAAUCCAGGAAUGCAACUCUGAUGAAUCGGAGAUCUUCUCUAAGCACUUCACUGGGGCGAUGUUCCGAGUCAAUGCCCUCCUUGUGGUGAACGCCAUCCUGAUGGGAGUCAUGGUUGUCAUAGGCGCAUACGGUCGCUAUCGCAGCCAUCCAUUGACCCGUUACAUUUUCUUGGGUGCCACUGCAUUGUUCAUUCCCAUAAUCUCCUAUGUCCUAUCUGACAUUGAUAAUCGGAAUGGCCUUAUCCUUUUUGCCGCUGGAGAAAAGAUAAUAAGCCGCCUGUGUAGUGCAAGUACCCACAAGAAUCUAGUCUUAAUAUGGACUGGUCUUGUUCAAAUGGUUGGUAUCAGCACCAGUUUGGUAGUGGUCAGUGAUUCUAGAGAGGGGAGAAACAUUGGCCCAUCUGGGGUACUACUUGUGCAUGCAAUGUGGACUUCCUACCUUAUGGUUUAUAACAUAGGGUUGAAGUAUCAAGUAUCAUACACCGACCUGCAUACUGUUGGUAUCCUCAACAUCAACGCCGAGUGGUCUCUGGUAUAUGCAUUUUCUCUAGAAGGAUUGAUGGUUAUCCCACCAUUUGCUCCCACCUUUGCAAAGCUACUUUUCAAGUGUUCUGCAUGGUACAAGGCCAGAAAAUCAUUAGCAAUUGGAUGCAAUCCUCGUCUUAUUGUUGGAUACAUGGAGCAGCUACACGAUGCCAACAUGACAAAUGAUUAUCAGGAUAUACCUCCUCCACUAAUAGUAAUGGAUGAAGACACAACAUCUAUGGAUAAGCAGCCUCAUGGUUAUAGCUUCGCACUGAUGCCCAAUAGAGGCGGCUUAGUGACCCUUGACAAAGUUUGGCAGCUGGAUGACAUGCAUGAUCUCAAGUUGACAUCACAUCUCAAAGAUGUAUGCCUUUCCUUCGCACUGUCCAAGCUUUUAAGGUGUCGGUUCACUAGGUACACAAAUGCUGAGAUUGGCUUCGCCAAAGCUUCUAGCUUUUUAAGGCAUAUGUUACUCGAACAUAGCGAUGAUGAGAGAGUACUUCGACUGAUUGAUUAUGAGCUUUCUUUUCUUCAUGAUAUUUAUUAUUCAUCCCUGGCAAUCUCAUAUUCGAAGGGCUGGAUGCCCAUACUGAGCAUAUUGAUUUCACUCUCAGGCAUUGGUUCUUGCUUCGUUUUAGUAUAUCUGCAGUUUGCUUAUGGGGAUUACUCAUCAAAGUUGAUAGAUUGCAUGUAUGCAUGCCUUUCUCGGAAUGGAGAACGUGUCGUAGAUGGUCAGAGCUUUGGAAAUGCAAUAUUUGACCUUGUACCAGUAGUUGUACUUAUUGCACUAGUUGUGCUUGCUGAGGCAAGAGAGAUUACUUCUUACAUUUGCUCUAACUGGACAAAAGUGGCCCUAAUCUGCCGCUACAUAAACCAUGCUUCUUGGCAGCAAUCUCCUACCAUGCAGAAAUGGAUCAGGCGUGUGCUGCAGUGUAGAUGCAAGGUAUUGAAGCAUUUGGAGGACAAAAUGGACCAAUGUUCAAUACUAGUGCUCCACCCAAGGAAGACUCCAAUGGGCCUGCUUCGUCGUCUUAAAGCUGGUCAGAAGGUCAAGGUGCCAAGAGAGGUGAAGGCUGCUAUCAUGAAAUCACUGAGAAAUUAUGAGAGAAGCGGAGACAAUUACCGCAUGCCAUCUCUGUGCACGCGACCGCAGUUGAAGACCAGUGACAACCUCCUUUGGGUGGUCGACGGCACAAAAGGUAUAGCCUGUACCAUUCUUGUGUGCCACAUCGCCACAACCAUUCUUGAACUCAAGUCAGCU